UACGGAGGAUGCGAGCGUUAUCCGGAUUUAUUGGGUUUAAAGGAUGCGUAGGCGGGAUGCCAAGUCAGCGGUAAAAAUUCGGGGCUCAACCCCGUCCGGCCGUUGAAACUGGGGGCCUUGAGUGGGCGAGAAGAAGGCGGAAUGCGUGGUGUAGCGGUGAAAUGCAUAGAUAUCACGCAGAACCCCGAUUGCGAAGGCAGCCUUCCGGCGCCCUACUGACGCUGAGGCACGAAAGUGCGGGGAUCGAACAGG
rnacentral:rRNA from 1 species